rnacentral:tRNA from 1 species
GGGGAUGUAGCUUAGAUGGUAGAGUGCUCGCUUAAUAUGCGAGAGGUAUAGGGAUCGAUACCAUGCAACUCUA